CGGUCGCUGCUGUGAGGUGGGGGCUGACCAGACAGAAGUCAGCAGAGGUCGUAGUACCGGCGGGGGAACGGACAUCAGCCGGGAAGGGC
rnacentral:ncRNA from 1 species